rnacentral:lncRNA from 1 species
AAGGCCUGACAGUUAAGAGAACCCAGUGAAGAAACCUUUUGCAGAGAGAGAAAAGAACCCUUUUGAAUGUGAUCAAUCACGCUGAUUUAUUUGGAUGAUUUCUCUUCUGGAUUUCCUUAAACCAGGGAAAACCCAGGGACAGCAAUUGCUAUAAUUGAUGCAAACGAUCCCAGCCACACUCCCUGAUCCUGGUUCUGAAACUCAGAGAUGCAGCUGACCAGACUGAUGUGGCCAGCCUCACUCUGAAGGAUCCUGCAGCAGACAAAUUGCUGGAAUGUGUUCAGACGGAAUCCAGCUGCUACAACCGUCACACAAACUUCCUGAAAUAGAGGACAAAAGGUAGCAACUUGUCGCUUCUUGAGCCAAGAGAUUUAGGACAUGAGACCAAAUGAGAGAGAUUAAAAUAAAAAACGCAAGAAGUUAGUGAAAUGAGGAUUUAGCUCACCAGGCCAAAGCAGGCAGUCUUGGGUCUUUGCUGGACAGUUGUAGCUGCCAUAUAAGCUGUCCCUGCCAGGGCUGGGAUCUGGAGGCUGAUGCUGAAACCUCGGCCUGGAAAUGAUGCUGAUGAAGCAGGGCUCUGACAGCCCCUGCACUCUCAGAGGUCUGGGCAGCACAGAUGAAAUUAUCACUCCAAGAUCCUCAAAGCAUCCAGGAAAAAAGCACAUCUAGGAACAUUAGCUGAAUUUUGUAGAACACUAGUAAGCACCUAGUAGAUGCUCAGAAAAUGCAUAUUUUCCUUCCCUUUCCUGAAUUCCAGGGGCCUUGCUUGGUCUGUAUUAAUUACUAUAUCAGAGUCCUUAUUUGCAAGCGAAAGAAACCAACUCUAGUGGAUUUGAAUAUAAGACUAUUACUUCUUACUGAUUGUGAGGAAGGCUGGUGAAGCAGGCUUAUCGAAUGAGCAGGCGCUGGGAGGGUGUGCAGCUAGAACCAAUGGCCAAAAUCACCCUGCAGACCUCUCCCAGGGAGAUCCCUGUUGCUUCUGCCACUGAACAGCAGACAUCAGACCAUGCUGCACUGACUCCGUGGCACCAGGUCCUGGAACCUGGACGCCGACACGGUCCAGGACCCUCUACUCUCAUUUGAAAUCCAUGACACUAAGCCUUGCUGCUGCCCCAC